GCCUCUGUAGCUCAGUUGGUUUAAAUAGAGCGUUACACCAAAGUUGCAGGUUUGAUUCCUGUCAGAGAGG